AAACAAAGUAAUGGAACUUCAAUUUGGGAGAAGAAAGAGUUAAAAUUAAAUAUAACAGAACUGAAUCAGAUAUAUCUACAAGACUUUGGGUAGGGCACCUUCUACGAACAAAGAACUGUCAGAUUGUGUGGUUAUCCUGUGGAUCACCCAUGAAGCACGUACUUCCUGAGUGGAUAAGGGUGAUAAACAUCAGACCCACUCUGGUUUCUUUGAUAGACAAGGCAACUGUCUGGGCACUGAGAGUUGUAUCAAGGACAAUGAGACAGAAGGUCUGACCUCAAGGAUCACCAUAUACAGAGAAAAUAAGAAAGUAAGAAGAAUUCUUGCAAGUUGGAACGUGCUACUCCGGAGAUUGAAAAGACUUCUAUCUAAAUAAUCAGGGAAAAAUUAUGAAGGAAUGGCUGAAUGGUCCCUUCAAAGAGAAAUAGGAUUUCAUCAUGGACAGUUGAAAAGGAAGGGUAUCCCAAUUGAGACUCUUCUUGUCCUAGUUCCCACUUGCAAAGAAAAAGCACAGUUCCUACUGCUCCUUAGUUAGAACCUUUCAAAACACCUGGUUGCCCUUGGGGGAGGUGGCAGGUUAGAAGGAAAAAGAAGUUGAAAGGAUAAAUACUAGCUCCUAUGAAUAGAGGAACGGAUAAGGAUUUGAAUCUCUUGAAAUAAUCUUGGCUGAGGGUGUGUUGUUUAGCUGUAAAGUCCUUGCCUAGAAUGCACAGGUUUCAUCCCCA